rnacentral:rRNA from 1 species
CUGGCGGCGUGCUAACACAUGCAAGUCGAACGAGAAAGUGGAGCAAUCCAUGAGUAAAGUGGCGACCGGGUGAGUAACACGUGACUAACCUGCCCUUGAGUGGGGGAUAACCUCGGGAAACCGGGGCUAAUACCGCAUAACAUCGCAAGAUCAAAGGAGCAAUCCGCUGAAGGAGGGGGUCGCGGCUGAUUAGUUAGUUGGUGAGGUAACGGCUCACCAAGACGAAGAUCAGUAGCCGGCCUGAGAGGGCGCACGGCCACACUGGAACUGAAACACGGUCCAGACUCCUACGGGAGGCAGCAGUGGGGAAUUUUGCGCAAUGGGGGAAACCCUGACGCAGCAACGCCGCGUGGAGGAUGAAGUCCCUUGGGAUGUAAACUCCUUUCGAUCGGGAAGAUAAUGACGGUACCGGAAGAAGAAGCACCGGCUAACUCUGUGCCAGCAGCCGCGGUAAUACAGAGGGUGCAAGCGUUGUUCGGAAUUAUUGGGCGUAAAGGGCGCGUAGGCGGUGCGGUAAGUCUGUAGUGAAAUCUCUGGGCUCAACUCAGAGUCUGCUAUAGAAACUGCCGUGCUGGAGU